CCCAAAAUUCCCUCAAAAUCCCCCAAAAUCUCCCCCAAAUCCCCAAAAUCUCCCCAAAUCCCCCAAAAUUUGGGAUAAAACCCCCGAAAUUUGGGAUAAAAAUUUGGGGUUUUUUGGUAAAACCCCGGAAUUUGGGGAGGUUUUUGGGGGUCCCCGAGAGAAUUUUGGGGUCCCCCUGAUUUUGGGGUGCAGGCCUGGCAGCAGCUGCAGGAAUUUGGGAUAAAACCCCAAAAUUUGGGAUAAAACCCCUGAAAUUUGGGAUAAAAAUUUGGGGUUUUUUUUUUCAAACCCCAGAAUUUGGGGAGGUUUUUGGGGGUCCCCGAGGGGAUUUUGGGGUCCCUGAGCCGAUUUUGGGGUCCCCGAUGGAAUUUUGGGGUCCCUGAUGGGAUUUUGGGGUCCAGCCCUGGAGGGAGCUCAGGAAUUUGGGAUAAAAACCCCAAAAUUUGGGAUAAAACCCCUGAAAUUUGGGAUAAAAAUUUGGGGUUUUUUGUUCAAACCCCAGAAUUUGGGGAGGUUUUUGGGGGUCCCCGGGGGGAUUUUGGGGUCCCCGAUGGGAUUUUGGGGUCCCCGAUGGAAUUUUGGGGUCCAGGCUUGGAGGGAGCUCAGGAAUUUGGGAUAAAACCCCAAAAUUUGGGAUAAAACCCCUGAAAUUUGGGAUAAAAAUUUGGGGUUUUUUGUUCAAACCCCAGAAUUUGGGGAGGUUUUUGGGGGUCCCCGAGAGGAUUUUGGGGUCCCUGAUGGGAUUUUGGGGUCCAGGUCUGGAGGGAGCUCCGGAAUUUGGGAUAAAACCCCCGAAAUUUGG